AUGAUUGAACUUGUCCCCAACAACGAUGUGCUGGAGAAGUGUAUUAAAGACAUCCUCUCUCAAAUAAAACCGGCAGAGGAUGAUCUGAACAGAAGACUAUCUGCAAUUAAGGAGCUGGAAGUUUCCAUGCAACCAGUUGCAGUCUUGAAAGGUGCUGCUGCAAAACCUUUUGGAUCCUUUCUAUCAAAUCUAUACUCAAAAUCAGGAGAUUUGGAUAUAUCAGUUCAGCUCAUGAAUAGCUCAAACCUUCCUAUAAACAAGAAAAAGAAGAUAAGUAUCUUGAAAGCAGUAAGGACAGCUUUGCAAAAGGGAGGUGUUUAUGGAUAUAUGGAGUUCAUUCCUCAAGCAAGAGUCCCAGUUCUUCAGUACGUGAGCAACCGCUUUGGCAUUUCCUGCGAUUUAUCUGUUGAUAACUACCCUGGUCGAAUUAAAUCCAAGAUCUUCUACUGGAUCAGUACUUUGGAUGAGCGCUUUGGUGAUAUGGUUUUAUUGAUCAAGGAGUGGGCAAAAGCUCAAAACAUUAAUGAUCCAAAAAGUGGGACCCUGAACUCCUAUUCGCUUUGCCUACUUGUUCUCUUCCAUUUUCAGACAUGUGAGCCGGCAAUCCUACCACCUUUGGAGGACAUUUAUGAAGGGAAUAUCACAGAAGAUUUUGCAGACAUGACGCUUUAUAAUGAGGAACAUCUUGAUGAGGUUUGUGCUGCAAAUAUAGCAAAAUUUCAAAGCCAGAACAAGGAACAAAGAAAUGAAAGCUCUCUUUGUCAUCUCCUUGAAACCUUUUUUCACAAGUUUUGUCACAUUGACUCCCUUUCGAGUGAUGUGAUAUCUACAUACACGGGUCAGUUUAAGAAGAUUCAGGACAUUCCAAUUCGGAGGAAGAAACCCUAUAGCUUGUUUGUCGAAGAUCCAGUUGAGAGGCCUGAUAAUGCUGCUAGAGCGGUUGGUGAGAGGGGGCUCCUCCUAAUUGCUAGUGCCUUCAGUGAUGCUAAGAACAAGUUAGCUUCCCUCGAGCAUACUGACCGGAACGACUUACUGGCAAUGUUGUCCACACCUGGUGUUUGCUCAAAACUUGGCGGAAGAGUCAUCGCUAACAAUUAUACAAAUACUCCGCAAAGGACUCGACAGCAUCUAAUCAACGUGGGAGCUAAGGUAUCUAAUAAUCAACGUCGCCCCAGAGCCAAAGGAUUUACAGGAAGCAGACCAGUCAAGAAUCCUACUCAGGCAAACACUGUCCAGAAUCCCACUCAGGUAAACACUGUCCAAAAUCCUACUCAGGUGAGCACUGAUACUGCAGGGCGCCAAACGCCAGGACACUACCGAAAUCAUGACCCUCCUCAGGUUUAUGCUAACGCCGCAGUUCAUCAGCCAUCAAGACAGCCAGGGCUAUACACAAACCAUUAUCCCCCAUCGGCAUAUACUCCGGGCCGCCAAACAACAGGAUCAUACCCGAGUCAGAGCCAUCCACAGGCGCACACUAAAUGGGGCCCGACAGGGGUACCAUACGAGAGUCAUAAUCAUCAACCGGCGUAUACCCCAGUGUACCAAGGAGCAAGGCCGUAUUACUAUCCGAGUCAACAGCAGCUUCAUACAAGCGGGUUCCAAACACCAGGAUCAUACCAGUACGAGUAUCAGAGUCAGUCGCCUGUUCAUACAGGCGGGAUCCAAAGGCCAGGACCAUACAACUAUCAUAGUCAACCGCAGGGUCAUACAACUGGGGUCCACACGCCAGGACAAUACCAGAAUGGAUAUUACAAUCAGCCGGCAUAUACUGCAGGCCAAGGAUCACACCAGAACUGGCGGGGGGCGCAAUACACACCCGACCAUCAGACUAAUAGGUACAAUAGGAAUGGGGUGGCUACAAGGCACGAGCCUGUUGCUGGAGGGCUCCAGAAUGGACCGGCACGGGCACGGGACUCGCGGUCGCAAGCCUCCUCAGGCCGUACGGAAUGGCGAGGAAGCAGCCAACAUCAGACCUGA
rnacentral:rRNA from 1 species